GACGAACCGUGCGAACGUUGUUCGGAAUCACUGGGCGUAAAGGGCGCGUAGGCGGCUUUAUAAGUCGGGGGUGAGAGCCUGUGGCUCAACCACAGAAUUGCCUUCGAUACUGUAGAGCUUGAGACCGGAAGAGGUAAGUGGAACUGCGAGUGUAGAGGUGAAAUUCGUAGAUAUUCGCAAGAACACCGGUGGCGAAGGCGACCUUCUGGGCCGCAACUGACGCUGAGGCACGAAAGCGUGGGGAGCAAACGGG
rnacentral:rRNA from 1 species